GCGAAGCUGGCCGAGCGAACUAGACUUUUUUUUCAGGGACGCUUGGCGGCCGAGAGCGAGUGUUGCGAGACAACAAAAAGCUCGACCUCAAAUCAGGUAGGAAUACCCGCUGAACUUAAGCAUAUCAAUAAGCGGAGGAAAAGAAACCAACAGGGAUUGCCUCAGUAGCGGCGAGUGAAGCGGCAAGAGCUCAGAUUUGAAAUCGUGCUUUGCGGCACGAGUUGUAGAUUGCAGGUUGGAGUCUGUGUGGAAGGCGGUGUCCAAGUCCCUUGGAACAGGGCGCCCAGGAGGGUGAGAGCCCCGUGGGAUGCCGGCGGAAGCAGUGAGGCCCUUCUGACGAGUCGAGUUGUUUGGGAAUGCAGCUCCAAGCGGGUGGUAAAUUCCAUCUAAGGCUAAAUACUGGCGAGAGACCGAUAGCGAACAAGUACUGUGAAGGAAAGAUGAAAAGCACUUUGAAAAGAGAGUGAAACAGCACGUGAAAUUGUUGAAAGGGAAGGGUAUUGCGCGAGAGAAAAGGGGAUUGCGCACCGCUGCCUCUCGUGGGCGGCGCUCUGGGCUUUCCCUGGGCCA
rnacentral:rRNA from 1 species